rnacentral:rRNA from 1 species
UACGAAGGGGGCUAGCGUUGUUCGGAAUUACUGGGCGUAAAGCGCACGUAGGCGGCUUUCUAAGUCGGGGGUGAAAUCCUGGAGCUCAACUCCAGAACUGCCUUCGAUACUGGAAAGCUCGAGUCCGGGAGAGGUGAGUGGAACUGCGAGUGUAGAGGUGAAAUUCGUAGAUAUUCGCAAGAACACCAGUGGCGAAGGCGGCUCACUGGCCCGGUACUGACGCUGAGGUGCGAAAGCCAGGGGAGCGAACGGG